rnacentral:rRNA from 1 species
GAUGAACGCUGGCGGCGUGCCUAAUACAUGCCAGUCGAGCGAACAGACGAGGAGCUUGCUCCUCUGACGUUAGCGGCGGACGGGUGAGUAACACGUGGAUAACCCACCUAUAAGACUGGGAUAACUUCGGGAAACCGGAGCUAAUACCGGAUCAUAUAUUGAACCGCAUGGUUCAAUAGUGAAAGACGGUUUUGCUGUCACAUAUAGAUGGAUCCGCGCCGCAUUCGCUAGUUGGUAAGGUAACGGCUUACCAAGGCAACGAUGCGUAGCCGACCUGAGAGGGUGAUCGGCCACACGGGAACGGAGACACGGUCCAGACUCCUACGGGAGGCAGCAGUAGGGAUUCUUCCGCAAUGGGCGAAAGCCUGACGGAGCAACGCCGCGUGAGUGAUGAAGGUCUUCGGAUCGUAAGACUCUGUUAUUAGGGAAGAACAAAUGUGUAAGUAACUAUGCACGUCUUGACGGUACCUAAUCAGAAAGCCACGGCUAACUACGUG